AGUGAACGCUGGCGGUAGGCCUAACACAUGCAAGUCGAACGGCAGCACAGUAAGAGCCUGCUCUUACGGGUGGCGAGUGGCGGACGGGUGAGGAAUACAUCGGAAUCUACUUUUUCGUGGGGGAUAACGUAGGGAAACUUACGCUAAUACCGCAUACGACCUACGGGUGAAAGCAGGGGAUCUUCGGACCUUGGGCGAUUGAAUGAGCCGAUGUCGGAUUAGCUAGUUGGCGGGGUAAAGGCCCACCAAGGCGACGAUCCGUAGCUGGUCUGAGAGGAUGAUCAGCCACACUGGAACUGAGACACGGUCCAGACUCCUACGGGAGGCAGCAGUGGGGAAUAUUGGACAAUGGGCGCAAGCCUGAUCCAGCCAUACCGCGUGGGUGAAGAAGGCCUUCGGGUUGUAAAGCCCUUUUGUUGGGAAAGAAAAGCAGCAGGUUAAUACCCCGCUGUUCUGACGGUACCCAAAGAAUAAGCACCGGCUAACUUCGUG
rnacentral:rRNA from 1 species